GCGAUGGUUUACUUUAUUUAAUGCCUAAAUGUGGACUAUCAGGACAAUAUUAUGACUGAAAUAGAGAGGAGUGACCAUCACCAAGUGAUCCCGGACUUGGAGCUGGAUGCAGGAACUGAUGAGACUUUGGAUCUCCCCUUUUGGGGAGGUUAACAUUACUUGGUGUCAGAAUGGGGAUCCGAAGAUGAACCCCUGAAGAAUUGAUGAUCCCUGGAAUCAUGCACAGUACCCACUUGAUCCCUUUGUGCUCCCCACUUCCUUUUGGUUCGGUUCAAAAGAUUCAAUUCCAGAUGGUGUUAUAACAAGGAUACCAGCCAGUUGGCACACGGACUAUGUUGGAGCAAGCCGCCUUAUUAUUCCAUGGGAUCUCAUCUCCCUCCAUAAAUACACCCUGACAGAGAGCAGGCAUCGGGAACCCAGGACCCCUAUGAUGCCCCGUCCAGCAGGAAGAAGCUAGGCAUGUUGAACAGCAGUUGCUGAAGUGAUUUUGAUGAAAUGUGACCUUUAAAGACUGUGGCCACUGACCAAAGAAUCUGAACUACAGUAUCCAACAUUUUAUAGGCUACAAAACAUAAGCUGGCCAGCAUUUAUUGCUUGUACUAACAGCUUGAGUCAAGUUUCCUAAGCCUACAGAGAAGACCUCUUACUGCUGCUAAUUUUACUAUCAGCAAAGAAAAGGGAAAUAGGAAACCGUAUGGAAUGGCUGAAUGAGAGCCUUUGUGAGAGCAGUAUGAACUCAGAUUAUCUGAAGAGAGUGCAACUUUUUUCUAAAACUAAAAAGGACUCAAUUUGCAUAGAAAUAAAGUGGGAAAAAAUGUAAUGUAGAAAAAGUUAUAAGCAGAGAUUCUGCUCUGGCCUCUCAGGAUGGCGUUGAUUUACAUAUUAAGGCAGUCACCAGGGAAAUGUUAAAAACCCUCUAGGGAAAUUUCCUAUGUGAUGGAUAGAACUUUAAUAUUAAUAUAGGAUUCAUCAUGAUAAUGUAAGUCAUAGAUCUAAGUCUCCCUUCAUCAAAUGAAUAGUCCCUUUCCAGCCUAUUAUACAGGCAGCACAUGCUUUAAAUAGUGUCAUGUGGGAGACCUGAAGUCUUUCUUUAUCUGCAGUUUCUGAAGUUUUAUUCACAGGAAUAGUGACCCACCGGGUCAUCCAUCUUUAAUUACGUCAUCUAGACCAUUUGCAUUUUCCCCUUUUUAUUAAUAUUUAGUGUUCCUUAAAAUAUACUUCCAUCGUACUUUUUUUUCACAAAUAGAAAAAGCAUAAUCAACACAUAUUAUUUCAUACAUGAGGUGAGUAUGAAGGGAAGAUCUGAUUCUUAAUCUAUUCGUUGAUCAUUAUACAAGGAAAAAAGUGAUUUAUGGGUUGCUAUUUGAUUUAGUUAUCUAGUACACAAUUAUCAACCAUAUGCAUGUGUAUUGUUCAUCUUACUCUGGGUUUCCUAGUCUUGUAACACUGACACCCCACAAAAUGGUGGCUGACUCUCUCUAGAAUCCUGUAAGACAAUGACAAUCUUUUUGGAAUGAGAAUGAUUGCAGUGUUGAUACCAAUAUAAUAAAUGCCAGUAAUAAUAAAUGUUAAGAUUCAUCUGCUGCGUUUUUCAGCAGAAAUUCAAAUAUUCAUUAGUGGAGCAUAUAAUCACCUUUUCUUACCUUAGCCCAAAACAUGCAUGAAAAUAAAUUCAUAAGUACGGACUAUGAAUACAGACAUAAAUUGUGUACACA